UACGGAGGGUGCAAGCGUUGUCCGGAUUUAUUGGGCGUCAAGAGCUCGUAGGUGGUUCGAUAAGUCGGGUGUGAAACCUCCAGGCUCAACCUGGAGACGCCACCCGAUACUGUCGUGACUAGAGUCCAGUAGGGGAGCGUGGAAUUCCUGGUGUAGCAGUGAAAUGCGCAGAUAUCAGGAGGAACACCAGCGGCGAAGGCGGCGCUCUGGGCUGGCACUGACACUGAGGAGCGAAAGCGUGGGGAGCGAA
rnacentral:rRNA from 1 species